UGAUUUGGCUGAUCUGGUUGGCUAGGCAGUUGUCCCUUCCCUCCCUCACUGCUCAAUGUGCAUCCCUCCCAAAGCUGUGCACUCAGUCAAAGGACAACCAUCCCCGAUAGAAGAGAAACAGUCUUCAGUCAAGGGUACACGAGUAGCUGCACUCCCCUUCUAGAACCUCCAAGGUCCAAUAUGUAUAUGUUUUAAUAUGCUAGAUAUUAUGACUGAAUUGUUACAGUAUCUUUAUCCAUGUC
rnacentral:sRNA from 1 species